UGACAGAGCUAUAGCAGUGUUGGUCAGACCAUGAGACCUCCCAUCUGCAGUGAAAGGUGACAGAGCUAUAGCAGUGUUGGUCAGACCAUGAGACCUCCCAUCUGCAGUGAAAGGUGACAGAGCUAUAGCAGUGUUGGUCAGACCAUGAGACCUCCCAUCUGCAGUGAAAGGUGACAGAGCUAUAGCAGUGUUGGUCAGACCAUGAGACCUCCCAUCUGCAGUGAAAGGUGACAGAGCUAUAGCAGUGUUGGUCAGACCAUGAGACCUCCCAUCUGCAGUGAAAGGUGACAGAGCUAUAGCAGUGUUGGUCAGACCAUGAGACAUGCUGAAAAUCGGUCUUCUCACAAAAUUGUCUGUAGCACCCGAAUGGUUUGGCCUAAAAACUGUUACUUUCUGAAGGUCCCACGGGAGCAGUUGGAAAAAAUGAAUGGAAGUACAGUAUAUAAUGGAUACUUUUUAGUGUCACAAAUAAGGGGUUAAAU